rnacentral:rRNA from 1 species
AUUGAACGCUGGCGGCAGGCCUAACACAUGCAAGUCGAACGAGUGGCGGACGGGUGAGUAAUGUCUGGGAAACUGCCUGAUGGAGGGGGAUAACUACUGGAAACGGUAGCUAAUACCGCAUACCAUCGGAUGUGCCCAGAUGGGAUUAGCUAGUGGGGGGGGUAAAGGCUCACCUAGGCGACGAUCCCUAGCUGGUCUGAGAGGAUGACCAGCCACACUGGAACUGAGACACGGUCCAGACUCCUACGGGAGGCAGCAGUGGGGAAUAUUGCACAAUGGGCGCAAGCCUGAUGCAGCAAUGCCGCGUGUAUGAAGAAGGCCUUCGGGUUGUAAAGUACUUUCAGCGGGGAGGCGUUACUCGCAGAAGAAGCACCGGCUAACUCCGUGCCAGCAGCCGCGGUAAUAC